CUUUUACAUGACAUGGUCACAACAUGUGAGCGCGCACUGUCACAGCUACGUUACAGUCCGGAAGAUGAAACGGCAAAAGCCAUCUGGGGCGGAGGAAGUGCAGAGGAGAAGAGCGGGAGAAACAUGCAAAGGAGAAAUAUUCACUAUUGAAAUUUUUAGGACCAUCUGCAGCUGAAUCAUCAGACCAGGAACAGCCAUGUACCGCAGCUGCUCUGGUUUCCUCAGUUGAGUUUAAUGUGUCAGUGAAUGUUUGUGAUGAUAAAAAUGUAUUGACUUAUGUGAAAAUGACAAUAUGUUGUGUGUGUCUCAUCCAGUAAAUGUAUUUGCUCUUGUGUGUUCUCUCUAUGUUUAUGGACCUAGAACCAUCAGAGGAGACGCAACAAGAGCAUGCUGCUCUUCCUGCCAACCUCACCCUGCCUCUAACCACGGAGCCUGGAUGUUCAGAUGCAGCAAACACUGGUAAUUCGCCUUCAGCUGAUCCUGCUGACUGGCCUCUUCAUGUAACGGACCUAAUGAGAACAGAGUUGAUUCGGAGAAGGCGGUAUCAUGUACCACCUGAUUUCAUAUUUCCUUUUUG